rnacentral:rRNA from 1 species
GGUUAAGCGACUAAGCGUACACGGUGGAUGCCCUGGCAGUCAGAGGCGAUGAAGGACGUGCUAAUCUGCGAAAAGCGCCGGCGAGGUGAUAUGAACCUUUGACCCGGCGAUGUCCGAAUGGGGAAACCCAGUGCAAUCCGUUGCACUAUCGUUAACUGAAUACAUAGGUUAACGAGGCGAACCGGGGGAACUGAAACAUCUAAGUACCCCGAGGAAAAGAAAUCAACCGAGAUUCCCCCAGUAGCGGCGAGCGAACGGGGAGCAGCCCGGAGUCUGAAUCAGCUUGUGUGUUAGUGGAACGGUCUGGAAAGUCCGACGGUACAGGGUGAUAGUCCCGUACACGAAAGCACACUUGCUGUGAACUCGAAGAGUAGGGCGGGACACGUGGUAUCCUGUCUGAAUAUGGGGGGACCAUCCUCCAAGGCUAAAUACUCCUGACUGACCGAUAGUGAACCAGUACCGUGAGGGAAAGGCGAAAAGAACCCCGGCGAGGGGAGUGAAAAAGAACCUGAAACCGUGUACGUACAAGCAGUGGGAGCCUCUUUAUGGGGUGACUGCGUACCUUUUGUAUAAUGGGUCAGCGACUUAUAUUCUGUAGCAAGGUUAACCGUAUAGGGGAGCCGAAGGGAAACCGAGUCUUAACUGGGCGUUAAGUUGCAGGGUAUAGACCCGAAACCCGGUGAUCUAGCCAUGGGCAGGUUGAAGGUUGGGUAACACUAACUGGAGGACCGAACCGACUAAUGUUGAAAAAUUAGCGGAUGACCUGUGGCUGGGGGUGAAAGGCCAAUCAAACCGGGAGAUAGCUGGUUCUCCCCGAAAGCUAUUUAGGUAGCGCCUCGUGAACUCAUCUUCGGGGGUAGAGCACUGUUUCGGCUAGGGGGCCAUCCCGGCUUACCAACCCGAUGCAAACUACGAAUACCGAAGAAUGUUAUCACGGGAGACACACGGCGGGUGCUAACGUCCGUCGUGAAGAGGGAAACAACCCAGACCGCCAGCUAAGGUCCCAAAGUCAUGGUUAAGUGGGAAACGAUGUGGGAAGGCACAGACAGCCAGGAUGUUGGCUUAGAAGCAGCCAUCAUUUAAAGAAAGCGUAAUAGCUCACUGGUCGAGUCGGCCUGCGCGGAAGAUGUAACGGGGCUAAACCAUGCACCGAAGCUGCGGCAGCGACGCUUAGGCGUUGUUGGGUAGGGGAGCGUUCUGUAAGCCGUUGAAGGUGU